rnacentral:rRNA from 1 species
GGGGAAUACGACUAACUCCCAACCCAAUGUGAACGUUACCAAACUGUUGCCUCGGCGGGAUCUCUGCCCCGGGUGCGUCGCAGCCCCGGACCAAGGCGCCCGCCGGAGGACCAACCAAAACUCUUUUUGUAUACCCCCUCGCGGGUUUUUUAUAAUCUGAGCCUUCUCGGCGCCUCUCGUAGGCGUUUCGAAAAUGAAUCAAAACUUUCAACAACGGAUCUCUUGGUUCUGGCAUCGAUGAAGAACGCAGCGAAAUGCGAUAAGUAAUGUGAAUUGCAGAAUUCAGUGAAUCAUCGAAUCUUUGAACGCACAUUGCGCCCGCCAGUAUUCUGGCGGGCAUGCCUGUCCGAGCGUCAUUUCAACCCUCGAACCCCUCCGGGGGGUCGGCGUUGGGGAUCGGCCCUGCCUUUUGGCGGUGGCCGUCUCCGAAAUACAGUGGCGGUCUCGCCGCAGCCUCUCCUGCGCAGUAGUUUGCACACUCGCAUCGGGAGCGCGGCGCGUCCACAGCCGUUAAACACCCAACUUCUGAAAUGUUGACCUCGGAUCAGGUAGGAAUACCCGCUGAACUUAAGCAUAUCAAA